AUCAAGGAAAAGAAUGGAGCCUAACAAACCAAUUGGAAGUUGCCAAUCAUCUACGAUUCGUUCAUCACCAGUCAUCACAACCAUUGAAGAAGCAAUAUCUUGCCAUCAUUACCAGAGUUUGACAAAUUUGAGAAAAAUCGUGGAUCCAAAUAUCCUUGAGAAGCAAGGUGACAAUUGCCUCCUCAUCAAAGGCAAUUCUUUGCGAGGCUUCAGCACAGUCAGUUUCGCCUAUGCUUGGGAUCCUCCUUUUCUGCUGUCGCCUGCUGGGUCUAUUAUCGAGGCCUGUUAGAAACAAUAUUUUCUGGUACUUUGUAGUGAGAAAAUAAUGACUGAAAUGAGGCUCUUUUAUUGCUAGUAAUGUCUUUGUUUCAAGUCGAUUGCAAGCUUUGCAAAAUCCAACAAAACAGGUGUCAUAACUACGGAUGAAUAAGCAACUUUAUUAACAAAAGAAAAGGAGGCUAACAAGCAGCCAACAGAAGAAAAUUCUAGGAACUUACAAUAAAAAUGAAUUCACUAACAAGCAAGCAUGGUUAAAGAGGUUCCCCACUCACGGAAUUGAUUUUAAAGUAUACAUUACAUAUACAACCACUUUGUAAAACGGCAUAAAGCUCAGGAUUUAGCCAGUGCAUCAUCCGUUCUUGUUAAUCCUUCAAAUUAAUUAGACGUGCAAAUUGCAAAAGGCAUUUGCCCUGUUUAGGCAGAGUUUGCUCUUCCUUCAAUCCCUCCACCUUACUCCUCGGCCACCCUCUUCUUUCCUGAAGAAACAUUAGACAUUCUUCAGAAACUACUAAGCCUCAAGUUGGAAUCUUGGAAGCAACUAGAGGCAUAAGCUAAAGUAUGGUUGGAAAUGACCAGAGGAUGUAGCAUUCUUCAGGUGCUGAUGCAUAAAUGUAAACCUCAAAGGAGCAACUCAUACAAAAGAGUAGAGGAGAGAAGAAUGAAGCCAAGCUUAUAAAAUGAUACUAGAACUGUAUAUUAGGAAAUAUCAAACAAGUCUCAUUU